UGCUAGAAGACAAGUACAUUAAAUAUGAGAAAAGAAGGAAAAUAAAAGAUAAACAAAAAAUACUCAUAAUAUAAUAGCCAACCUGAUAGCCCAUAAUACUAUAUGAGUGGGAAUAGAUGAUGACUAUACAUGACAGUUUCAUAUAGCCAUCAAAUGACUAUAGUAUUAGCCUUUUUUAUCUCCGUGUAAAUUUAGCCGUUUUUUAUAGCAACCCAAAUAGCCACGAACACUCAACUCCGUAAUAAAUCAUUUGAAGCUUAUGCAUGAAAAUAUAUACGCUUGAGCAGAGCGGCAACAUGAGUUACUAUUGCCAUAUAUUAUGAUGUCAUGGCCUCUCAGCCUCCAUAUUUAACGCAUAAGGGCCAACUUUUGGUGCACACUUCAUCAAACAAAAUCAUGCGACAUGAAGAAAACUACAAAUGGUUCCUCAACUCACAUGGAGAUGAAAGAAGAUUGGAUGUACCAUUGAUGCGUGAAUCCCACGAGUCAGAUAAAUUUGGAGGCCACCAUGUAGCUACUUUGAGUCUACCUCCACCCAUUUCACUGUAGCGCAUCGACUUUUGGACGACUCUGCUAGAGUAGCCUCUAUUGCUAGCGAGAUCGGGAGAGAACUCUUGACAUGGUACAUAGCUGGUUCACUAUUUUUGGAUGCUCUUUCCAAAGAUGAAAUGGUUUUAGGUUUGCAAAUUGUGAAACCUUGAAAGGUGUACUCGCGGUAGCUGUUGGAACAUGUGUUCAAGUUCGAGUGAUGCACACAAGAUGAAAAUUAGUAGGAUAAAGUUCGAUCAUGAUAUGCAAAAUUAUGUUAUUGACAUGGGGCAACCUAUUUGCACAUUGACAUAGAAAAUUUGGAGUGAGAAAAUUUUCCUGAUCAUUAGAUUGAAAUUCAAUGGCCGGCAUGCGUAUUCUUUCUCAUGUCAUCUUCAUUCCUUGUCUUCCUCCUACCGAUGUCUUUUCUCUUCCUCCUGUCGCCCUACAUCGCUAGGCAGACCGCAUGUCUCUACAACCCGCGGUCAGUGGCGCUGCCACACCUUCCUCAAACCACCAUCUUUGUCAGUUUCCCUCCGCCCGAGUACUCUUCUUCCAAUGCUCGCCCUCCACCAAAGCCAGCCAACAUCAGACUCCCCUUUGCCACCUCGUUGCCUCAAUGCGACAUCUCCUUCUCUCUCAAAAUCGCUUGGUACGAAUUCUAUAUUUAGGCUACUUAUAUAUGGCAAAGGUGUACGGACAUACAAUCCAUUUAUAGUAGUU
rnacentral:lncRNA from 1 species